UACGGAGGGUGCAAGCGUUAAUCGGAAUUACUGGGCGUAAAGCGUGCGCAGGCGGUUUGUUAAGUCUGUUGUGAAAUCCCCGAGCUCAACUUGGGAAUUGCAAUGGAUACUGGCAGGCUGGAGUAUGGUAGAGGAAGGUGGAAUUCCCGGUGUAGCAGUGAAAUGCGUAGAGAUCGGGAGGAACACCAGUGGCGAAGGCGGCCUUCUGAACCAAUACUGACGCUCAUGCACGAAAGCGUGGGGAGCAAACAGG
rnacentral:rRNA from 1 species